AUCAUCUUAAUAAAAUUUUUAAAUCUGUUCUUAUCAGUUUAAUAUCUGAUAUGUCCUUUAUUUGAGGACUGUAUAUUAAAUUGAUUUUUGAAACAGGGGUCUAGAACAGAAACUUGCUCUGUCUGCCCUAUGCAUCAACCUGGUAUUGCAAUGCCUCCAGGAACAGUGCAUCUCCU